GACGAACGCUGGCGGCGUGCUUAACACAUGCAAGUCGAACGGAAAGGCCCUGCUUUUGUGGGGUGCUCGAGUGGCGAACGGGUGAGUAACACGUGAGUAACCUGCCCUUGACUUUGGGAUAACUUCAGGAAACUUGGGCUAAUACCGGAUAGGAGCUCCUGCUGCAUGGUGGGGGUUGGAAAGUUUCGGCGGUUUGGGAUGGACUCGCGGCUUAUCAGCUUGUUUGUGGGGUAGUGGCUUACCAAGGCUUUGACGGGUAGCCGGCCUGAGAGGGUGACCGGACACAUUGGGACUGAGAUACGGCCCAGACUCCUACGGGAGGCAGCAGUGGGGAAUAUUGCACAAUGGGCGGAAGCCUGAUGCAGCAACGCCGCGUGCGGGAUGACGGCCUUCGGGUUGUAAACCGCUUUCGCCUGUGACGAAGCGUGAGUGACGGUAAUGGGUAAAGAAGCACCGGCUAACUACGUG
rnacentral:rRNA from 1 species